rnacentral:rRNA from 1 species
GACGAACGCUGGCGGCGUGCUUAACACAUGCAAGUCGAACGGAAGGGCCCUGCUUUUGUGGGGUGCUCGAGUGGCGAACGGGUGAGUAACACGUGAGUAACCUGCCCUUGACUUUGGGAUAACUUCAGGAAACUGGGGCUAAUACCGGAUAGGAGCUCCUGCUGCAUGGUGGGGGUUGGAAAGUUUCGGCGGUUGGGGAUGGACUCGCGGCUUAUCAGCUUGUUGGUGGGGUAGUGGCUUACCAAGGCUUUGACGGGUAGCCGGCCUGAGAGGGUGACCGGUCACAUUGGGACUGAGAGACGGCCCAGACUCCUACGGGAGGCAGCAGUGGGGAAUAUUGCACAAUGGGCGGAAGCCUGAUGCAGCAACGCCGCGUGCGGGAUGACGGCCUUCGGGUUGUAAACCGCUUUCGCCUGUGACGAAGCGUGAGUGACGGUAAUGGGUAAAGAAGCACCGGCUAACUACGUG